rnacentral:rRNA from 1 species
AACGAACGCUGGCGGCAUGCCUAACACAUACAAGUCGAACGAGACCUUCGGGUCUAGUGGCGCACGGGUGCGUAACGCGUGGGAACCUGCCCUUAGGUUCGGAAUAACUCCCCGAAAGGGGUGCUAAUACCGGAUAAUGUCUUCGGACCAAAGAUUUGUCGCCUUUGGAUGGGCCCGCGUUGGCUUAGCUAGUUGGUAGGGUAAAAGCCUACCAAGGCGACGAUCCAUGGCUGGUCUGAGAGGAUGAUCAGCCACACUGGGACUGAGACACGGCCCAGUCUCCUACGGGAGGCAGCAGUAGGGAAUAUUGGACGAUGGGCGCAAGCCUGAUCCAGCCAUGCCGCGUGAGUGAUGAAGGCCUUAGGGUUGUAAAGCUCUUUUACCCGGGAUGAUAAUGACAGUACCGGGAGAAUAAGCACCGGCUAACUCCGUG